AGGUUAGGAUUUCGGUUGAGAGGCUUGGGGUCUUGGCGUUUCGCCCACCAUCUCCUGAAGACAGGUUGGAGUCGAUAUCUGGGACGGGGGGGAGGUUGCGGUGCCCCUCAGGGCUACGUCUCAAGAGUGCUAUCAUUUCCGCAGGCCAGAUCAGAAAAGGGAGCUCAGGUACCUUCCAGAGAGUGAGACCCAGCGCCCUUGUCUCGCACCCCGUAGGCUUUCAUCCCCGCCAUGGCGGAGCUGAUCCAGAAGAAGCUGCAGGGAGAAGUGGAGAAAUAUCAACAGCUACAGAAGGACUUAAGUAAAUCCAUGUCGGGGAGGCAGAAACUUGAAGCACAACUAACAGAAAAUAAUAUCGUGAAAGAGGUGAGGGACUGGGAUUUGUGGGGCGAGGAGGGACCUGUACUAGCCAUGGUUCUGAUCACAUAUGUCCCAUCCCUCCAUCAGGAACUGGCCCUGCUGGAUGGGUCCAACGUGGUCUUUAAACUUCUGGGUCCGGUACUAGUCAAACAGGAGCUGGGGGAGGCUCGGGCCACAGUAGGGAAGAGGCUGGACUAUAUCACAGCUGAAAUGUGAGUUUUUAUUCCACCACCGUGUGCUGCAAGUGAAUCAUUGGAGUAGAGGUGUUGAACCAUUGCAGAACAGCUCUCCAUAGUGGCCCCUAGUCCUCCAGUUCCUCCAACCCUUUCCUUCCCUUUUAACCCCCCUUCUUCUCCCUCCCCUAGAUCUCAAGUUUUCCACCUAUCUCUUGCGUUUAGCACCCUCCAUAGUUAAGUCCUACUGAUUUCUCCCUUUCUGCUUGUCUCCCUUGUCUCUCCUUAGUAAGCGAUACGAAUCCCAGCUCCGGGAUCUUGAGCGGCAGUCAGAGCAACAGAGGGAGACCCUUGCUCAGCUGCAGCAGGAGUUCCAGCGGGCCCAGGCAGCAAAGGCAGGGGCUCCUGACAAGGCCUGACCCCAUGGUCGGGGGUGGGGAGGGGAGG
rnacentral:sRNA from 1 species